rnacentral:rRNA from 1 species
AUUGAACGCUGGCGGCAUGCCUUACACAUGCAAGUCGAACGGCAGCACGGGGCAACCUGGUGGCGAGUGGCGAACGGGUGAGUAAUGCAUCGGAACGUACCUUUCAGUGGGGGAUAACGUAGCGAAAGUUACGCUAAUACCGCAUAUUCUGUGAGCAGGAAAGCAGGGGAUCGCAAGACCUUGCGCUGAUUGAGCGGCCGAUGUCAGAUUAGCUAGUUGGUGAGGUAAAGGCUCACCAAGGCGACGAUCUGUAGCGGGUCUGAGAGGAGGAUCAGCCACACUGGAACUGAGACACGUUCGAGACUCCUACGGGAGGCAUCAGUGGGGAAUUUUGGACAAUGGGGGCAACCCUGAUCCAGCCAUGCCGCGUGAGUGAAGAAGGCCUUCGGGUUGUAAAGCUCUUUCGGCCGGGAAGAAAUCGCACGGGCUAAUACCCUGUGUGGAUGACGGUACCGGAAUAAGAAGCACCGGCUAACUACGUGCCAGCCGCCGCUGUAACAC